CACGUAGGGCGCAAGCGUUGUCCGGAAUUAUUGGGCGUAAAGAGCUCGUAGGCGGUUUGUCGCGUCUGCUGUGAAAACCCGAGGCUCAACCUCGGGCCUGCAGUGGGUACGGGCAAACUAGAGUGCGGUAGGGGAGAAUGGAAUUCCUGGUGUAGCGGUGGAAUGCGCAGAUAUCAGGAGGAACACCGAUGGCGAAGGCAGUUCUCUGGGCCGUAACUGACGCUGAGGAGCGAAAGCGUGGGGAGCGAACAGG
rnacentral:rRNA from 1 species